rnacentral:lncRNA from 1 species
AAAAAUCGAUUUAUUUUUUUUUGCACAAAUAUUAUCUAAAAUAUGUGUAGAAGACGUGGGUAAAAGGAUUUUUCGAUAUUGAAAGUGGUUUAAAAGUUACAACCGUAUAUCGGAGCAGGUAUACGGAUAGCACGGGAGCCCGCUCGGCGGGGCGUGUCAGCGCUGUCACGUGACAGUUCUCGCAUCGACCGUUCAGAGAGACACUUGAGCGAUUUCGCAAAAGAAGACCGGGUUUUAAAGAGAGAACAUAACAUAAAACGGCUUUGCAGAACUUUUUUGAAGAAGACGGUGAACUGUAUCGUCCAGGUAUAGCAGAUUUAUGAUAAGCAGAACAGCCGAAAUCAUGGCAGCAGUUGAGAAACUUUUUUUUUAUAUGUGUCCCUGUUGGCUGAUGUAAUUAAAAAAAACACUAAUAUAUCGACUUUAAAAAAUUCAUAAAGUUUGUUAAAAUGUUAAUAAAUAUGAUAUAAAAA